AUAAUAAGGCAUUUACUAACACAGAGGACAGAGGAUGAUGUAGUACCAAUGGAUGCAUCAGCCUAAUAUGAUUACAUUUCUUUGCAGUACCUGGGAACAUGAGGUGCUUAUGAAGUCCUUGCAGCAGAGUUGAAGGAGCCUCAGAUCUAGUUGAAGGUCAUUGGAAAACACUCUGGGUCUUCUCUCUCUGGUCUUGAAGGUACCCAAAUGAAUUAUGUAAUCAUGGCAUCAAGCUGAAAGACUUGACUAUCAUAUCAGGUUGAAAUGAGUCUCCUUGGAAGCUACUUUCUUGGUCAGGAGAACAUUUAAACUUAAAAAGGCGAUCAGACCACAAGAACCACACUCAGAGCUGAUGGAGAAGACCCAGAGAUCCUGAACUCUGAGCUGGAUGCAGUAACUGGAUAGGACCUGGGCUGGACUUUCUUGCAGGGGAUGGACAUAUGCUUCCAAUUGGUUGAAUCUAUUUAUCUGGAGAAUCCUGAAAUAGGAGGAAAAGUAAGAGAAAAUGACAGGAAUUUGAUAUGUUGCACAAGUCAAUGAACGGUUGAACUGAAAUGAACACAGCCUGUCACUUCGAGAAUCCAUCUCCGUGGAAAAUAAUGAAGCUGGAAUAAAAAAGGAAACAAAACAUAUUUCUUGUCUGUCAACUGUCAGGGUGUUUAUUUGUUUCUUUAAGCAUAGCACUCAGAUAAUAGCAGGGAAAACAGGUUUUCACUUAUAAUGUUGUUUAAUAAAGAAUUUGGGCCAAUUGAGCAUAUUUUCCAUUUACCUCUCAGGCAAUUCCAGAAUAAAAUUCUUUCAUAAUUUUAAGGAAGUGAGAAAACCUUUUCUUCAAAUUGUCCUACUCUUAUCAGAAGGCAAAAUAAACCAAAACAUUUUUGAAAAAGUCAACUAAAUGAAUAUACUUGAAAGAAAUAAAAGACACUAACAUGCUUUUCUGCACUUACAGUUUUAGGCCUAAUUAUGGUUGAUGUCAAUGAAAGCAAAACCAUGUUGUUUAACCUAAAAUAUCUUCUAUCAUUUGUUUUAACUGUCUUCAAACCUGGUAAUUACUUAAAUGGGAGAACAACAUGAUUUAUGUAGACGUUCUUGUCAUGUGAACGAAAAAUCGGUACUAAAGUUCACCCAUCCUCACAUAUUUCCAUCACAAAAGCCACUAAAAUGAGCUACUCAAAUCAUCCCACUUGGAGCCCUCCAUUCCUUCAGGAACUACUUUAUGUUCUAAGGGUCUAAAGGUACAAAUUAGGAACUGGGAAACGAAUGAGGUAACAUAUUGUAGGCAGUAGAGGUGAUUUUCUUGUAAAUUACAAUCAGAUUCAUUGUACCAGAUACUCUGCCCUUAUUAGGAUGCAACUUUGAAGAAAGCCAGGACUUUUGUGGCCAGUUUGCACAUACACUUAGCCCUCAUGUCUGUAGGUUUUGUUUGCAUCUGUGGAUUCAACCAAGCAGAGAUUGAAAAUAUUCUGGAAAAGAAAAUGUUUCUGUACUGAAAAUGUAUACACAUUUUUUCUUGUUAUUAUUUCCUAAACAAUACAGUAUAACACCUAUUUACGUAGAAUUUACCCUGUAUUAGAUAUUUUAAGUAACCUAGUGAUGAUUUAAAGUAUUUGGGAAGAUGUGCUUAGGUUCUAUGCAAAUCUUAUGGCAUUUUAUAUGGGACUUGAGCAUCCUUGAAUUUGAUGUCCAAGGAUUUUGUCAUCUGCAGAAGGUCCCGGAACCAAUCCCCUGCUAAUACCAAGGAAUAAUGUGAAGGUCCUUUAUCCUGUUGAAAUUUCUCAAUCUGCAGACAUUUGACUUUUGAACUGUAUGCUCAAAAUUAUCUUUCUGCAUGUCUUCAGAAUAUAUCAAGCUCCACAUAAUGCUACUUUAAAUCCCAGUUCUUGCCCUUCUUAAAUGUAGGCUUUGUUGUUAUAGUCACUCAACGUUUCCCUCCAUUUCCUAACACAAUAUUACCUUUUCUUUCUUUUUUCUCCAUUGCUUUUCUACUAUAUCAAGGCAUAACAUUUGUCUGAUUAUUCUCUCCUGAUUUUCUAAGUUUUAUCCUAAUUUUACCAUUAAAUCACAAAAAAAUAAUGUUUUAUACUCUAUCUUAAAAUAUAUGGCUAAUAUUCAUUAAUACUUAAUGUAAAUGUAUUACUCCUCUAGACCUUUCUUAGGAAUGUCUCAGAAGCUGUUUGUUUAUGUCAACAUGAAUAUCAUCUGAGAUUUCAGAAGAAACAGAAUACAUAAUGUAUACCUUUAGUUUUGAGUUAAAUUAGUAUCAUGUUCACACCCCGUAAACAAUUAAUUCUCUAAGGAGUUGGCUCUCUCAUUGAAAUGGUAGGUAAGAAAUAA